GACGAACGCUGGCGGCGUGCUUAACACAUGCAAGUCGAACGGAAAGGCCCAGCUUUUGUGGGGUGCUCGAGUGGCGAACGGGUGAGUAACACGUGAGUAACCUGCCCUUGACUUUGGGAUAACUUCAGGAAACUGGGGCUAAUACCGGAUAGGAGCUCCUGCUGCAUGGUGGGGGUUGGAAAGUUUCGGCGGUUGGGGAUGGACUCGCGGCUUAUCAGCUUGUUGGUGGGGUAGUGGCUUACCAAGGCUUUGACGGGUAGCCGGCCUGAGAGGGUGACCGGCCACAUUGGGACUGAGAUACGGCCCAGACUCCUACGGGAGGCAGCAGUGGGGAAUAUUGCACAAUGGGCGGAAGCCUGAUGCAGCAACGCCGCGUGCGGGAUGUCGGCCUUCGGGUUGUAAACCGCUUUCGCCUGUGACGAAGCGUGAGUGACGGUAAUGGGUAAAGAAGCACCGGCUAACUACGUG
rnacentral:rRNA from 1 species